rnacentral:lncRNA from 1 species
GGCAGAAGCUGACGAAAUCCCAGGGCCUGACCAGGAAGAUCAGGCACUCCAUGAAAGAGAAACAAAGAAGUUCCUCUGCAGGAAGAAGAAGAGAGGGAAAGAGAAAAGCAACCAAUCCCAAGCCCCUGCCGUGAGCAAACACUUCACACACAAGGCCUCUCUUUGGUUCAACCUCACGUAGGCAAUGUUAUUGCGCCACUUUACAGACGAGGACCUGGAGACUUAAAGGGACAGCUCUUGUAUCAGAGUUUUGAGAUUUGGUGAACAGGACCAUAUGAACCUGAAUUCAUUCAUCCAUUCAACCAUCUGUUGGCGGCCCAGUGUUUCGUCAGUUCGAAUCCUGGGCGCGGACAUGGCACUGCUCAUCAGACCACGCUGAGGCAGCGUACCACAUGCCACAACUAGAAGAACCCACAACGAAGAAUACACAACUAUGUACCGGGG